AAGGAGAGGGCCAUUCUGAAUUAUUUUUAUAAUUUUAUGGAAGCUAUGUGAGAAAUGUCAUUUGUGGAUAGUAAGAUGCUUUAUUAUCUCUUCUGGUCUCUCAAGGGCCUGAUGUUGUUUUUCUCCAGGACAUCUACCAAUGCUUAGAGACAGUCCUAACAUCUUUCAAUGCUUAAAAGGCACACAGGAGAAGGUACAAUGGUUGCUUACUGGGAGUUUUGUGAUAGCAAAACAAUAAUUUGAAUGAACCUUUUACAUCCGUGUUGGCCUAUUGUGUUAAAUUGGAUGAAAUUGUGUUGCUUUAGUAGGCUUUAGAGUUUGUCCAUGGUUCUUAUAUGUGUUAGGGCAUGUGCAGAUUCUUUUGUUUUUUGCCCGAAAUAGUUACUUUUUUCUUUCUUAUUUAGUUUCCACUUCCUUUUCUAGUGUUCUUGUGUUUAUAUAGUAUCUGAUAAUUGGUAUUACUGUGAUUCCGGAGGUUUUGCUUGGAGGAGAGAGAGAGCUGCAAAAGAAAAACAUACGAAGGGUCCUUACUCUCUCCUCCUGCAAGUUUGGUAAGUAUCUCGAACUUUAUGGCCAAUUUGAGUUGCUGUUGGUUGUUCUUUUUUGUUUAUUGUGCGGGUAGAAGUCGUUACGUGUCUAUUAGCACUAAAGUUUUCUUUUGGCUGCCAAGGUUUAGACUAAAUAGUGCUUUAGAACUCUUCUCUCUGGAAUUGCGAGUAGUUUUCGUUGCGCAUAUAAUCUCUUGAUUUUUCCCUUUAGGAACAUAAAAGCUUUGUCAAAGUAGACUUUGCAAGUAUAUUUUUGUAGGUUUAAUGAUUUGUGUGGGAAGAAAACUAACAUUUGUGAUGUAACAUGUGAUAUUAGUAGCGAAUAUAUCUAUUGAUUAGUUUUGUUGUGUGUGGAUAUACUCUAUGUUGAUAGAUGCCUCAUUGUAGCCCAAAGGAGAUGAUAUACGUUAUGUAUAGUAGUUGGGUUAGUAGUUGUGUCACUAUGAGCCGACUUGAUUUCAAAGCUUUGGUUCCUGUCACUCUGCCAGUAGUUGAUUCACUCUGUAGCAUAUGAAAAUUUGGUAAAUAUAAAUGAAUCUGUAAUAGACUAAUUGUAAAGACAUUGAGUCAAGUUGUAAGAGAGUUUUAUAACGUAUGAAGAAAUUAUAUAUUUCAUAGGA